rnacentral:rRNA from 1 species
UAACACAUGCAAGUCGAGGGGAAACGACGUCGAAAGCUUGCUUUCGAUGGGCGUCGACCGGCGCACGGGUGAGUAACGCGUAUCCAACCUGCCCAUCACUUGGGGAUAACCUUGCGAAAGUAAGACUAAUACCCAAUGACGUCUCUAGAAGACAUCUGAAGGAGAUUAAAGAUUUAUCGGUGAUGGAUGGGGAUGCGUCUGAUUAGCUUGUUGGCGGGGUAACGGCCCACCAAGGCGACGAUCAGUAGGGGUUCUGAGAGGAAGGUCCCCCACAUUGGAACUGAGACACGGUCCAAACUCCUACGGGAGGCAGCAGUGAGGAAUAUUGGUCAAUGGGCGAGAGCCUGAACCAGCCAAGUAGCGUGCAGGAUGACGGCCCUAUGGGUUGUAAACUGCUUUUAUAAGGGAAUAAAGUGAGCCUCGUGAGGCUUUUUGCAUGUACCUUAUGAAUAAGGACCGGCUAAUUCCGUGCCAGCAGCCGCGGUAAUACGGAAGGUCCGGGCGUUAUCCGGAUUUAUUGGGUUUAAAGGGAGCGUAGGCCGGAGAUUAAGCGUGUUGUGAAAUGUAGACGCUCAACGUCUGCACUGCAGCGCGAACUGGUUUCCUUGAGUACGCACAAAGUGGGCGGAAUUCGUGGUGUAGCGGUGAAAUGCUUAGAUAUCACGAAGAACUCCGAUUGCGAAGGCAGCUCACUGGAGCGCAACUGACGCUGAAGCUCGAAAGUGCGGGUAUCGAACAGGAUUAGAUACCCUGGUAGUCCGCACGGUAAACGAUGGAUGCCCGCUGUUGGUCUGAAUAGGUCAGCGGCC